rnacentral:misc_RNA from 1 species
ACCUUGACGUUAGAAGAUAAUAUAAAUUUUUGAGUAGCAUUUUUCUUUUAACGUCAGGAUGUCUAUUAAGAGUGUAUGGUGUUGGA